rnacentral:lncRNA from 1 species
AUUAAGCAGAGGAAGGAGGAAGAGGCAUAGAGUAAUGAAGUACAUUGGCCAGCAUCACCCAAGGGUACAGCUGCACAAACAAGUUACAGCAAGUUAAAUUAGAGGAUAUAUUAACGGAGUCAGAUGCUCUGCUCUAACUUCCUAUUUGUCUGCUCUGGACCUGCAGAAAAUGAAACUCAUCUUACCUCAGGACUAAUCAAAAGACUAAGCCUCUUCUCCGGCUGCAGGAAGGAAAAAAAGAAGAAAAGGCUAAGAAGGGAGUCCAGCUAGAGCAUACAUGCCACUCAGAUGCAGCUCAUGGGAAGACAGAGGAUACACAAUGUCGAGAAACUGCAAUUCCUAUUAAGAACACUUGACUGUUUACUCAGCAAGAGAACUUCAGGCUCAGGCUGCAUCAAUCUAAAUGCGUUUCAGGACGUCAGUCUUUUGAAAAGUGCAGACUGUUAGUUGGUUAUUUUUAAAUGUAAUCUUCACAUAAAAGAGUUACUGCAUUUUUUCUUUUCAC